rnacentral:lncRNA from 1 species
AAUCUUUUGGCAACUCUGCACAGGCUUUACAACUGGGCAGCUCUCAAGCUUUCCCGCUGUAAUGGGGCAGCUUCCCUCGGAGACAGAAUAGGCUUCCCAGCCCCCACUCCCGCUCUAGGCAUCCAGCUUCCCGCCCAGAGAAACGGCCGGGGGAACGCACACACACAGGUCAGCUCCGUGAGAGCCUGGGCGAGGCUGGAGCCUCCUCUCAGGCCUCAGGGCCUCGUCAGGGAGCCCUCCCGUCCCGCGUCCUGCCCGGGGGGCGUCCAGCUCUGGGGAACCGCUGAUGCCCAAAGCGACCCCUACAGCAGUCCGGCAGGAGGCUACGCGCAAGUAACUUCCGCCACGAAGCGGGAGGGGGCGGGGCCAGAAGGGAAGAAGGAGGAGCUUGGGAGUGCGACUGCGCACUGGGACGCGGCUGUCAGUCAACUUUCGCGGCCACAGCGGCCUCUAUGGGCGGCUGGUGGAAGAGGGCCGCGCGACAUUACCUGCGGGCGUGGUGCCUUUACGCCUUCAUCCUGUGUCUCUGGAGGAAGAAGGGCGGGGCCCCCGGUGGCGGGAAGCGGAAGGCCGCCGCUGCUUCCUGGCUCUGCUAGCGGAGAAUACUGCAUAUAAACUGGGACAAACUCAGCCAGAGACAGACUCAGAAGGGCUCGGAGAUAGGUUCAGAGACAGACCCCGAGAAGACAGGGCUGGUGCACAAGCUCCCAGACUCAGGGAGACUUCAAGAUACGUGGUGGUCCUCCUGCCUCCCCCACAGAAAUCAAGGCACAUUCCAGAGGGCCUCAAGAAAGCUAUCUGAGUCCCUGGCAAGGAGACAAGACUUUGAUGGAGAUAAUAAAGAAUUUGGAUUUUAUUACCUGGCAAUUCUCAUGGUGAUUACUCAGCUGAAACCAAGGCUGGCCCAGAGACCUCCAGAAAACCAAAGAGAACAUUACAGAGGAGGAAAGGGAAAAAGAAAUAAAAAAUGCACAACAGAAACAAAACAAAACAAAAAACCUAUAAGGAAGCAAACAAAAAAUGGACAGCUCUAAACACACAAUGUGUCAUACUUAUUAUAUAGGCUUUCUUGAAAUGGUAAUUUAUUGCUUUAUAUUUUAAAUCCUCUUAUGUUCUUCAAUUUUUUUCCCCUCUUUUCCUACUUUGUAUUUAAGUUUAAAAUAAAUAAAAGGGGAGCUCUUGGAGGAAAGGGAGUGUUUCAAUCUUGUCAUUUAAAAAAAAAUGUUAAAAUUGUUGUUACAUGUAAUGGAAGGGGAAGUAAAAUAUCAUUAAAAAAAAUUCAGGUGAGAGGUUCUGACAGUCAGUUUUAGUUCUUGAUCUGUGAUUCUAAGAUGGAAAAUUUGGGAGGAUUUAAAAAGGGGAAGAAAGAGAAGGGAAAGGAGAUGGGAAAGAAGGUGGAAGAGGAAAAGGAGAAGACGGAAAUGGAGAAGGAUCAGAAUAUAAGGGUAGAAUGAAGACUAAAGAAGGAAGAUACUAGAAAAAGAAAAGAAAAUUGAUAAGAAAGUAGGAAAACUAGAAAAGAAAAUAGGGUGUGAAUGCAAAAGCUCUUAAAAAAAUGUGAGAAAGACGAAAAUUGCAUUAGUGAUAAUUUUAUUCUUUAAAGAGCUGAGAAAACAUGAAUAGCAUAUCUGUUCUGGGUAUGAUUCUGUCUAACAUGGAGGGAUUGAUAAUUAUCUUUAUGAAUAAAAUAAGGGGUAGAUUCUGGUUAAUUAGAUAGAUUCAGAGGUGGUUGAACAUCUAGACUCAAGAGUAUUCAUUGACAGUCUGCUGUCAGUUUAGAAGGUGGCAUCUACUGGAAUUUUC